rnacentral:rRNA from 1 species
UACGGAGGGUGCAAGCGUUAUCCGGAUUCACUGGGUUUAAAGGGUGCGUAGGCGGGCAGGUAAGUCAGUGGUGAAAUACUGCAGCUCAACUGUAGCAUUGCCAUUGAUACUGAAGAGCUUGAGUACAGAUGAGGUAGGCGGAAUUUAUGGUGUAGCGGUGAAAUGCAUAGAUACCAUAAAGAACACCGAUUGCGAAGGCAGCUUACUAAGCUGUAACUGACGCUGAGGCACGAAAGCGUGGGGAGCGAACAGG